GGGGUUGUACUGGUUUCGACAGGGAACUGGAAGUUGGAGAAGCUAUCCGCAGCUAUGCGUUAAAUGCAAAUCUAAAUAUAAACGCUGAAGACAAUUUAGCAAUCGCUGCCUAGUUGCAGCAGUCGGCCUUAGACCACUCACAGUUUAAGAACCCGGCUUCGACUAUGUGAGAAACGACAUAUGCUAAGCUUUGCACAUAUGGGCGUAUCAUGAAGCUACCAAAGACCGCAGGGUGUCUGCUCCCGGCGGCCGGAGGGAAUGACAAAGAACAGACUAUGAUAGUAGAAGUACAAUGAAAGGUUUUUUGGACAGGGGUUCGAUUCCCCUCAGCUCCACCA
rnacentral:tmRNA from 1 species